AUCAUCAUCAUUCAUAAAUGUAUUGACCAACCUCACAAAUAUGGUUAAUACAUUUGGCGCCGACUACAGGGACUUGGGAUUUUCUCAAGCGAAUUCCACCCACCAACCCCACCAUCACACCAUUGUUGUAAGGCUCUCAAAGUGGUGAUUUCAAGUUCAAGAAAUUCUAUUUGGCAGAAUUGCAAUCACAAUUUCCAAAUUGGGGGUUUUAUUUCGGUUACCAUUACUGUAUGUGAAACUCGACGAAAGCAAGAUAAGUAUCAAUUCAC
rnacentral:lncRNA from 1 species